CCCUCAGCCGCCGCGGUAAGACGAACCGUGCGAACGUUAUUCGGAAUCACUGGGCUUAAAGGGUGCGUAGGCGGGUGGAYAAGUCGAGGGUGAAAKCCYCYRGCUUAACYAGRGAASUGCCCUCGAUACUGUUUGUCUUGAGAGAGAUAGGGGSACRYGGAAYUUCCGGUGGAGCGGUGAAAUGCGUAGAUAUCGGAAGGAACRCCGGUGGCGAAAGCGGUGUSCUGGAUCUUUUCUGACGCUGAGGCACGAAAGCUAGGGUAGCGAACGGGAUUAGAUACCCCGGUAGUCCUAGCCCUAAACGAUGAGUACUAGAUWGUGGACUGACAUGGGUUCACAGUCGAAGCAAAAGUAUUAAGUACUCCGCCUGGGGAGUAUGGUCGCAAGGCUGAAACUCAAAGGAAUUGGCGGGGGAGCACAGCACAACGCCGUAUGUUGUUUUUUUUUCUUUGGUCGACGAGCGUUCCCCGUCGUUGGGGGGGGGGGGGGCCAUCUCGGCUCCCAUCGCUGUA
rnacentral:rRNA from 1 species